UACGUAUGUGGCGAGCGUUGUCCGGAUUUACUGGGCGUAAAGGGAGCGCAGGUGGUUUAUUAAGUCUGGUGUAAAAGGCAGUGGCUCAACCAUUGUAUGCAUUGGAAACUGGUAGACUUGAGUGCAGGAGAGGAGAGUGGAAUUCCAUGUGUAGCGGUGAAAUGCGUAGAUAUAUGGAGGAACACCGGUGGCGAAAGCGGCUCUCUGGCCUGUAACUGACACUGAGGCUCGAAAGCGUGGGGAGCAAACAGG
rnacentral:rRNA from 1 species